CAAAUCCAUUAGCAAAUUCCGACAGCUCCACAUUCUAAAUACAUCUUGAAUCCAGUCACUUCCCUUCAAAGCUACUGAUGUCCCUUGCAUGGAUUACUGCACUAGCAAUAUGGCUGAUUUCCUGUUUUGACUAGUGUCUUCUUCAAUUACCAGCCAGGUGAUGGGAUGAAUCGCAUCCCCCUAAAAUUCACAUGUUGAAGCCCUCACCCCCAGGAUCUUAGAACGUGACUGUAUUUGGAGACAGGAUCCUUAAAGCAGUCAUUAAAUUAAAAUGAGGUCAUGAAGCUGGGCCCUGAUCCAAUAUGACUGUGUUCUUCUAAGAAGAGAUGAUCAGGACAUAGACACACACAGAAGGAAGUCCAUGCAAAGACACUGGGCAACAGUGGUCUUCUACAAGCCGAGCAGAGAGGCCCAAGAAGAAACCAACCCCACUGACACCUUGAUCUUGGACUUUGAGCCUCCAGAACUGUGAGGAAAUAAAUUUCUGUCAUUUAAUGGCC